AGUGAACGCUGGCGGUAGGCCUAACACAUGCAAGUCGAACGGCAGCACAGUAAGAGCUUGCUCUUACGGGUGGCGAGUGGCGGACGGGUGAGGAAUACAUCGGAAUCUACUUUUUCGUGGGGGAUAACGUAGGGAAACUUACGCUAAUACCGCAUACGACCUACGGGUGAAAGCAGGGGAUCUUCGGACCUUGCGCGAUUGAAUGAGCCGAUGUCGGAUUAGCUAGUUGGCGGGGUAAAGGCCCACCAAGGCGACGAUCCGUAGCUGGUCUGAGAGGAUGAUCAGCCACACUGGAACUGAGACACGGUCCAGACUCCUACGGGAGGCAGCAGUGGGGAAUAUUGGACAAUGGGCGCAAGCCUGAUCCAGCCAUACCGCGUGGGUGAAGAAGGCCUUCGGGUUGUAAAGCCCUUUUGUUGGGAAAGAAAAGCAGCAGGUUAAUACCCCGCUGUUCUGACGGUACCAAAAGAAUAAGCACUGGCUAACUUCGUG
rnacentral:rRNA from 1 species